AUACGGAGGGUGCGAGCGUUAAUCGGAAUUACUGGGCGUAAAGCGCGCGUAGGCGGCUAAGUAAGUCGGAUGUGAAAGCCCUAGGCUCAACCUGGGAAUUGCACUCGAUACUGCUUGGCUAGAGUAUGGUAGAGGGUAGUGGAAUUCCUGGUGUAGCGGUGAAAUGCGUAGAUAUCAGGAGGAACAUCAGUGGCGAAGGCGGCUACCUGGACCAAUACUGACGCUGAGGUGCGAAAGAGUGGGGAGCAAACAGGAUUAGAAACCCCAGUAGUCC
rnacentral:rRNA from 1 species